rnacentral:lncRNA from 1 species
GCAGAGCGUUGGUGUUGUACUGCUCUGUCGCACUCUCACGGCAGUUCCCGUCGUGUUCUGGAAGAAUGAAAGUGUAGGCACAUUGCCCAUGUUGAAUCCGGUUAUAUCUUCUCCCUCCGUUUUCUGGAUUUCGGCGCUGGUUGCUGCACCCUAUGUGAGUCAGAAUGGCAGCGAAGAAUGCAAAGGAAAGGAAAACUGUCAUUGUACUGCCAGCGCUUGCCUUCCGUGCCUCCUGCAAAGCUUGCUCUUCUCUUCUGACCUUUAAACUAGUUCUUUAUUUCAGGUCAGUUCUGAAAACACAGGGCAUACAUACUGGAACAGUAAUGAAGUUAAGGCUACCAGAGUUCUUUAUGAGCCUUGUGACGACUGAGAUCAUAUGAUGGACAGCUGAAGAGAACAGGAGGAUUAGAGGCAGCUCUGAAAACAGCACCUUUGGAACCAAUGUGUCUCUGCAACGAGAAACCGUUGCUCCAGCACGUGCUACAAUGUUCAGUGUCUGUAGAAGUCAAGAGACAGGAUCUCCUUGGGACUCUGCUUCUGGUCAUUCGCUCACUUAGGAACUUGAUCUCUGGGACAGCACAUGCAGAGGCUUAUGAUUCACUUAGAAAACAUACAACUCUGUCUGUGCAUGUAUGGGACACAGAAUGUGCUGGAUUACAGAUACAAACACAUAUAUACUUACAUGUAUUAUUUAAAGUUAGUGUGUUAUGUAUCAUAUAUUUAUAUUAAAUAGAGAGAAUAUAAUAUAUAUUUCUAAAUAUAUUUAAUUAUAUAUACAUAAUUAUGUAUACGUACAUAUAUAUGUUUUCAUAUUCUCGGUUCUCAUAAGUGAACAUUAAGAAAACAAUCACUCCUAACCUCAGCUUUCUCAUUCACAAAAUAAGGUUCUUAAGUAGAAAUGGAUACCAAUGCAUUCCACUUUGUAGGCAGUAUGAUUCAUUUUUACCCCUCAGCUAAUAAUUACCUUUUAAUUAUCUGAAGAAUGUAAAACCAAUUUUUAUUUAAAAAUUAGUGUGAGUAUAUCCAUGGAAAAAGUGUACUGUGAAUGAGUGUUUGAGUUAAGGUUUAGAAGACUAUUUUACAGCUGGGGAACAAAGUACGAAUAAACACAAACAAAAUUUUAUUUCAAGGGAACUGACCAGGUGGGAUAAUUAUACAAAAUAGAUGCAAAUUAACAAUGAAGGUUUUACAAUCAGAACUAUAUGACUUUAAAUCCUAGGCUCAUGACAGUGCUAGGGGAUAGAUUAAUAUGAAAUCUUUCGGGUCAGUCUUUAUUGUCAAAGGACAGCACAUACUUGUUGCUCUAUUGAAAAGAUCAACGUCACAUCAUCUAGCAUGGGAACUGCUUCAUUGAACACCUUCAAAUAUUACCUGUGUGCUGAUCCUCUCUACAAGUGUUUCUGCUAAGGAUAAUAACUUGUGGGUUCACCAAAAGCAACCAUGACUUACAGGAAUACUUCUUGGAAAUAUGUACUUCACAAUUAUUAUCAGCUUGUACUUUAGGGUCUCACAUUUAUAUACAAAUUCCAGGUCUGUCAUGUAUUAUUUACUUAUUUACAUUCUGAGAAAGGCAGUCUUUCUUCUUCUAACUAGAUGGUAUGAGGUUUAUGAAAGAAAGUGUAGCACAGCCUCUAGUAAGUACGUAGCAACCGAAUACAUGAUAGUCGCUUUAGCACACUUAUAUUCUUCAAGCUUGGAGUAGUUAAUGGAAUGAAAAGGCAUGCCAAUCAAUAUUUCUGGAGAAACGAAUGAGAAGACGAAUAUUCCUUGGUUGUUGAACUACACCCAGACUCUCAAUGUCUUCUGGGAGUGAGGCAGGUCCUAGGAUCUCACAGCUUCCUAUAGAAGGCAUGUCAUUUUCAAAGACGUCUUACUUGACAUGUAAACAAUGCCCAGUAAACCUCUUAUGUUCUUUUUAUGGAAGCAGCUAGCAGCUAGGGGUUGUACAUGUUUUUGUUUUUUUUUUUUUCCAUUCAGUUAUAAAACUGUUUCAUGAUACUUUUCUUAGGUGUUCAGUCAAAUGGGGGUGCUCAAAAAGGAGAAAAUGGGACUGAAAGCUUUAGGAAAUCUAAAAUGAAGUUGAGUUAGCUCCAUUGAGUAUUCCUGAAGUAGUUAUACAAAAAAGACCUAAAAAAAGUGUUCACUUCAUACAUAAGCUUGUUUUUAAAUGUGUGAAAGACAUUAAAUGAAUAAAAAUGAACAAGCC